AUUGAACGCUGGCGGCAUGCUUUACACAUGCAAGUCGAACGGUAACAGGCCGCAAGGUGCUGACGAGUGGCGAACGGGUGAGUAAUGCAUCGGAACGUGCCCAGUCGUGGGGGAUAACGCAGCGAAAGCUGUGCUAAUACCGCAUACGAUCUAUGGAUGAAAGCGGGGGACCGUAAGGCCUCGCGCGAUUGGAGCGGCCGAUGUCAGAUUAGGUAGUUGGGGGGGUAAAGGCCUACCAAGCCGACGAUCUGUAGCUGGUCUGAGAGGACGACCAGCCACACUGGGACUGAGACACGGACCAGACUCCUACGGGAGGCAGCAGUGGGGAAUUUUGGCCAAUGGGCGCAAGCCUGAUCCAGCAAUGCCGCGUGCAGGAAGAAGGCCUUCGGGUUGUAAACUGCUUUUGUACGGAACGAAACGGUCUGGGUUAAUACCCUGGGCUAAUGACGGUACCGUAAGAAUAAGCACCGGCUAACUACGUGCCAGCCGCCGCCGUAACAC
rnacentral:rRNA from 1 species